rnacentral:tRNA from 2 species
GGAGAGAUGGCCGAGUGGUUGAUAGCUCCGGUCUUGAAAACCGGUAUAGUUCGCAAGAACUAUCGAGGGUUCGAAUCCCUCUCUCUCCU